AUCCCCUACGGGACGCAGCAGUGAGGAAUAUUGGUCAAUGGCCGAAGGGCUGAACCAGCCAAGCCGCGUGAAGGAAUAAGGCCCUACGGGUCGUAAACUUCUUUAGUCAGGGAACAAAGGGUGCCACGUGUGGCGCUGUGAGUGUACCUGAAGAAUAAGCAUCGGCUAACUCCGUGCCAGCAGCCGCGGUAAUACGGAGGAUGCGAGCGUUAUCCGGAUUUAUUGGGUUUAAAGGGUGCGUAGGCGGUUUGUCAAGUCAGCGGUAAAAUGUCCGGGCUCAACCCGGGCCGGCCGUUGAAACUGGG
rnacentral:rRNA from 1 species